GGUGUUAUAGCUCAGUGGUAGAGUGUGUGCUUAGCAUGCACAAGGUCGUGGGUUCAAUCCCCAGCACCUCUA
rnacentral:tRNA from 1 species